rnacentral:misc_RNA from 1 species
AAAUGCGAUAAGUAAUGUGAAUUGCAGAAUUCAGUGAAUCAUCGAAUCUUUGAACGCACAUUGCGCCCGCCAGUAUUCUGGCGGGCAUGCCUGUCCGAGCGUCAUUUCAACCAUCAAGCCCCCGGGCUUGUGUUGGGGACCUGCGGCUGCCCGCAGGCCCUGAAAACCAGUGGCGGGCUCGCUGUCACACCGAGCGUAGUAGCAAUCACCUCGCUCAGGGCGUGCUGCGGGUUCCGGUCGUUAAACAGCCUUACAAAACCCAAGGUUGACCUCGGAUCAGGUAGGAAGACCCGCUGAACUUAAGC